rnacentral:rRNA from 1 species
UACGGAAGGCAGCAGUGGGAAUAUUGCACAAUGGGCGCAAGCCUGAUGCAGCCAUGCCGCGUGUAUGAAAAAGGCCUUCGGGUUGUAAAGUACUUUCAGUCGUGAGGAAGGUGUUAAGGUUAAUAACCUUAGCAAUUGACGUUAGCGACAGAAGAAGCACCGGCUAACUCCGUGCCAGCAGCCGCGGUAAUACGGAGGGUGCGAGCGUUAAUCGGAAUUACUGGGCGUAAAGGGCACGCAGGCGGUUAAUUAAGUUGGAUGUGAAAUCCCCGGGCUUAACCUGGGAAUGGCAUUCAAGACUGGUUAGCUAGAGUCUUGUAGAGGGGGUAGAAUUCCAUGUGUAGCGGUGAAAUGCGUAGAGAUGUGGAGGAAUACCGGUGGCGAAGGCGGCCCCUGGACAAAGACUGACGCUCAUGUGCGAAAGCGUGGGGAGCAAACAGGGAUUAGAUACC